rnacentral:misc_RNA from 1 species
GCUGAAUCUGCUCAAGAAUUGAGUAGAAACAGAUAACAGAGCAGAUCUGGGGGAAAUAAAGCCUUUCUAACAGACCCAUUUCCUCAAUCAAUGGCUUCCAAAUUGAUUCUGAUUAUAGUUUUUGUACUCGACGUUAUUGCUUUUGGCCUGGCCGUUGCCGCUGAGCAAAGAAGAAGCACUGCCAACGUUGUGCAAGAUAAAGAAAAGGAAUACAACUAUUGUGUGUAUGACUCCGACAUCUCGACAGGCUAUGGAGUUGGUGCUUUUCUACUUCUCAUGGCCAGCCAGACCCUCAUAAUGGUGGCUAGCCGA